CUCCCGCGGCGCCGACUGGAGCUCCAGAGCCCCUCCCGUCUCUACCUGCUCGAGCUCCCGAAGUCGCCGCGCCUUAACGCGCCGUGUCGGGGCCGCAGGCGCCACUAGGGAAGCCCAGCUCCCCGCUGGAAGGACGCUCCGGACACUGCGAAUGAAUGACGACAACGCGGCUCACUUGGAGCGGGUCCGGGUUUGUGCGGACUCGGUACCACCGCGGGCUCCGCGCGCCGAGCUGAGCAGCUGUGGCUGGCUUCGGGGGAACCUUCGGGGGAAGCUCCUGGGGACCGUGUGCCAAGCACUGGGCCCGACGCCCAUCCCAGCAGGGAGGACGCCGCCAGCCUGCGUGGGUGCGUGUGUGCUGUUUGUGUUUAAGGUUGACGCUCUAUGGGAUAGCGCCACCCCUUUUCCCAGGAAAAGUGUUUCAAGGUUCCAGACCUGGAGCUCGGUUAGAGACCCGGGGUCGGAAGCCAACGCAGCCAAUGGUCGUCGAUGUUUUUGUUUCCUGCAUCCCCAGGGCAAGUCAUGCGCUAAACUUGUCACCGCUUGUGACCCCUCCCCCCUCUCCAUUCCAUUGUAAUUAAAGUGGCCUAGCUAAGUGCAUUACAUCACUUCUUUCCUUGACCUGUAGGGCGUGAGCAAUAGAGAAGUUGGAAGCGGCCCAAAAGCUUAGACCAACUAAUUCACACCACAGCUGUUCCUAUAUCGCAUUUGGGGCUUCGAAAACUGGGCAUGGCAGAAUUUUAAAAUUUAUCCACUCUUGGUAGAUGGAUUUUUUUUUUAAUCAGUGAAACCAGAAACACACAAACCAGGGCAGCUUUAUCCCUAGACAGUUUCAGUUUCCCCAAAUACUUCGAGCUUCCAGUGGUGAUCACAGCCCAUCUGCCUACAUAUCUGAUGACCAUUUUUUUUUCCUCCCGCCCAGGAGAUCUGGAGGAUAGUUCAGCCAAAAAAAAAAAAAAAAAAAAAAAAAAAAAAGUUCCUCUUCCCAAAUGAUGGGAAUUUAGCAGACUCUGCUUUGUUGUGGAUGCUGGGCAAUCCUAGGGACUUUUCCCUUUCCAAAUGAGCAGAGAUUCAAAUGAAACCUUCUUGUGUGGGCUUCAAAAUUGUGACUUUUGUAGCUCCGACUUGAAUUGUUGAAUUCCUUCAAUUAGUCGAAUGAGCAAAUCACCAGCCAUUCUAAUGAGACUGCCAUUUCAUCUGUUCGCUUCCUACCGCUUGGGCUCUCAAGGAAUGGAAGUUUCCCUUGAUGUUACCACACAGACUGAUCUGCUUCUUCCAGGCAUCAGUGGAAACCUCAUGUAUUUAACACAGACUCAAAAAACUCAUUUGGCACUUUUGGUCACAGUGCAGUGCCUUCAGUCACAAAAUCUGCAAAUAAAAAGCAAACAAUAAGA
rnacentral:lncRNA from 1 species